CCUCGGAUCACACCACCUCAGGAAACAGCCGGAAAUAGUCGAGAACCCAGCGUGUUAGUGGGUCAGAAAACGGUGAUGACGUAGACACUCGCAUGCCACGUGACUGAGAUGACGUAGCACGCAAGCGCACCACAUGACUGAGACGACAAAGCGUGCCUCCCGCCAAUGAUUCAGCUUAUCGCUUGUCUACAUUGCAACAGCACCGUGCACAUAAGCCAUGCCACCUUCCAUAGUUAGUGCACCUCUCAUCCUGUGCACCAAUGGAUAGGCCAGCGCGCUUCACUGGCUGCUUCGGAGGCGUGAGGACGUCUGCAGUCUCUCAUCUUCCUUUAUUCCAGCGCUUCCCGAUGUUGCUGA
rnacentral:lncRNA from 1 species